rnacentral:lncRNA from 1 species
GCUCUUCUACAUGACAACUUGGACACUUAAAAUUAAGCAAAUAACAAACUAGGCGUACUAACAAAGGAUGAAGAGAUGGGAUACAAAACAAAAACGAUUUCAGGCUGUCAAGAUAUAUAUAAAAACAUUCUCAGCCGAAGAGUAUGACUAGAUUGUCAGAUAAAGACACAUGCUUGAGCAAUCAUAAUUCAUACUAUUCUAAUAGCCGCUAUGAAAUACAGAGCUGACUUUUACCUAAAUCUAGCAAUUUCUCUUAAAGGGCCACCAAUUCCACAUCCAACAUCCAAAACCUGUCAAUGAAACAAGGAAUUCUUUUCAUGUUCCACUUGCUAAAUGAGACCUGGCUGACCAAUUUGAACCAAAACCACCACGAGAAAAGAAGAGAGUGGCCGAAAAAGAACACAUCCAUAAUACGAUGAAAAACCUUUUGUCCUUGCUUUAGCCCUAAUUGCAGAGCAAGAAAGUGUUCAUGUCGUCUGAUACUUUCUCCAAGUGAUUCCCCUUUCCAUCUGUUAUAACAAGGAAGAUACUGUUAGGAUUAUGAUUCCUACUAAAGACAACAACCUUCAUAUUGAAUAAUUCGAAUAUAUAAACUACAUGAGCGGAACCUAACCUGAAUCCAUAUGUGGAAAUGUUGAGCCUCCUUU